CUCGUAGUGAAGUUGGCCUAUCACGCCUCCCUGUCACGGAGGAGAUCGCCGGUUCGAAUCCCGCCACGAAA
rnacentral:tRNA from 1 species